rnacentral:tRNA from 2 species
AAGAUUUUAAGAUAAAUAAUCUAUUAACCUUCAAAGUUAAAAAUAUAGUUAAUAAUUAUAAAUCUUA